UACGUAGGUGGCAAGCGUUGUCCGGAAUUAUUGGGCGUAAAGCGCGCGCAGGUGGUUUCUUAAGUCUGAUGUGAAAGCCCACGGCUCAACCGUGGAGGGUCAUUGGAAACUGGGGAACUUGAGUGCAGAAGAGGAAAGUGGAAUUCCAAGUGUAGCGGUGAAAUGCGUAGAGAUUUGGAGGAACACCAGUGGCGAAGGCGACUUUCUGGUCUGUAACUGACACUGAGGCGCGAAAGCGUGGGGAGCGAACAGGAUUAGAUACCCUGGUAGUCCACGCCGUAAACGAUGAGUGCUAAGUGUUAGAGGGUUUCUGCCCUUUAGUGCUGCAGCUAACGCAUUAAGCACUCCGCCUGGGGAGUACGGUCGCAAGACUGAA
rnacentral:rRNA from 1 species